rnacentral:rRNA from 1 species
UAGAUACCCUGGUAGUCCACGCCGUAAACGAUGUCAACUAGCCGUUGGAAGCCUUGAGCUUUUAGUGGCGCAGCUAACGCAUUAAGUUGACCGCCUGGGGAGUACGGCCGCAAGGUUAAAACUCAAAUGAAUUGACGGGGGCCCGCACAAGCGGUGGAGCAUGUGGUUUAAUUCGAAGCAACGCGCAGAACCUUACCAGCGUUUGACAUCCAAUGAACUUUCCAGAGAUGGAUUGGUGCCUUCGGGAACA